AAUGGCAUCUACAAUGGGUCGCCACCUCGCGAGAGGGCGCUAAUCUCCAAAAGAUGUCUCAGUUCGGAUUGCACUCUGCAACUCGGGUGCAUGAAG
rfam:Rhodospirillum photometricum DSM 122 draft genome sequence